rnacentral:rRNA from 1 species
UACGUAGGUGGCGAGCGUUGUCCGGAUUUAUUGGGCGUAAAGAGCGCGCAGGCGGUCGUUCAAGUCGCGUGUGAAAGCCCCCGGCUCAACUGGGGAGGGUCACGCGAUACUGAUCGACUCGAAGGCAGGAGAGGGUAGUGGAAUUCCCGGUGUAGUGGAGAAAUGCGUAGAUAUCGGGAGGAACACCAGUGGCGAAGGCGACUACCUGGCCUGUUCUUGACGCUGAGGCGCGAAAGCUAGGGGAGCAAACGGG